CGCCCUCGCGCGGCGCGGGCGGCGCUCUUCGCGUGCCGAAAACCGGGCGCCGAGAGGCCGUCAUCUGCCUUAGACCUGGGCCAGGUUGCCGCUUCCCACUGAGGAUCUCUCCUAGAUGCCUCCGCCUCACUCUUCCAAAAGGGGCAGGGUGGUGUAGAAGCCCCGCCGUGCGGGCUGAGCCGCGGCCCGCGUGGGCGGCCGCGCGGGUGGCCGACGCCAGCUGCGGGAAGUGGGAGGCGAAAGCCGGGCGGGCUGCGCAGCACCGGCUGGAAGAUCCCCGCGGCGACGGCCCGAGACGGUGGCCGAGAGGCUGAGUGCAGCCCAGGCAGCCGCGCGGCGGAUCGGGUGCACGCCUCAGAGGCACGGUCCCCUUUGACCCCACAAGUAACAAAAGGUCCCGAGGGUCGGGACAAGUGGCGCCCAACGUGGGGCCCGAGGUACGGACUUUUGUCAGAUGCACGCGGUUUACAGACAGUUCUCCGGAGAAUCCCUAAAGAGACCUCCUUUCUGCCGCUCACAGAAUCGACGGUCUGUCACAGGUAGACGCAGCUACACAAAAAUCGGUCUCCGUGUUUUACCAACGGCUAGAACAAAGAGGCCCCAGAGAAGACCUCCGUGGAGAGUCUCCCAACACACCCACUGAAGGUCUAAAUUUCUCAGACCUUGCCUCAGACAUAGAACGCAGUUGGUUCCAAAGGCUGUGAAGACGCCCAUGAUGAGAUUAUUGCGAUGCCGUGUACCAGAUGCACACCCCGCCGACGUUCAAAAUGGGUCGUAAAGCAGUGGAGAAAACUCGCAACAUCAACAACACAUUUGGCUCAGGAACUGCUAACGAACAUACAGUGUGGUGGUGGGUCAAGAAUUUUUGCAAAGGAGACGAGGACCUUGAGAUGAGGAUGCAGUGGCCGGCCAUCGGAAGUUGACAACGACCGACUGAGAGCGAUCAUUGAAGCUGAUCCCCUUACAACCACACGAGAAGUUGCCAAAGAACUCAACGUCGACCAUUCUACAGUCCAUUUGGCAUUUAAAGCAAAUUGGAAAGGUGAAAAAGCUCGAUAAGUGGGUGCCUCAUGAGCUGACUGAAUAUUAAGGAAAAUUAUCAUUUUAAGUGUGGUCUUCUCUUCUUUUACUCAGCAACAACAAACCAUUUCUCUAUCGGAUUGUGACCUGCAACGAAAAGUGGAUUUUGUAAAACCACUGAUUACCAGCUCAGCAGCUCAGUGGUUGGACCAAGAAGAAGCUCCAAAGCACUUCCCAAAGCCAAAUUUGCACCAAAAAAAGGUCAUGGCCACUGUUUGGUGGUCUCCUGCCAGUCUGAUCCACUACAGCUUUCUGAAUCCUGGCGAAACCACUGCAGAUGAGAAGCGUGCUCAGCAGAUCAAUGACAUGCACCGAAAACUGCAACACCUGCAGCCGGCAUUGGUCAACAGAAAGGGCCCAGUUCUCCAGAACAACGCCCGACCGCACGUUGUGCGACCAAUAUUUCAAAAGUUGAAUGAACUGGACAACGAAGUUUUGCCUCAUCUGCCAUACUCACCUGAUCUCUCGCCAACUGACUGC